rnacentral:lncRNA from 1 species
GCGAGAUGAUACCACAGAGCUGCUACGAACACCCAAGGACUGCCAUUGUCUGAUGAGGAGAGAAAACGCUUGUACAAGCAGGUCUCCUGGUCUGAGGAUUGGUAUUACAGAAGUCUGCUUUCCUGAGACCUACCAGAUCAAACGAACUGAUUAUCUGCUUUGUGAUGACUUCUCUGGAAUGAGUUUGUGAGUAGACACCUUUAAGGAACAUAGACCAUAGCGUUUAACCACACUGCUCUACUUUCAUAAUCAGUCCUUAGCAACAAUGUUUGGGUAUCUUGCCUUCGUUUGUCUGGAGACUUGGCUGAAAAUUGGCAUCAAGUGUCAGAAACUCCUGCCCCAUACCCAGUGUUGAUUUCUUUACAAUGGUGCUCUUGCAGAGCCAUUUUCAAUGUUGGUAAGGUGCCAGGUGGUGUCAGUAUAUCUGGCAGAGUUUUGAUGAAUACACUAGUGAUGGAUCAUCCACAGACUAGACUACUCAUUUAAGAACCAUUUGGUGUGGGCAUAGUGUAAAAGUGGGGUGUGGACCGUGUCUUCCACUUUGUAUGAAAUCAAUUAAAUUAUACAACAUUCUAAGCUAUUACCCACCAAGCUCUGCAUGGUUACAAAUACUGUGUCAUUCUAGGGCUUUACUUCAAAACUUGUGUAUAUGUGUUAUUGAGUAAGAGUCCCAUUUUAUGCAAAUUACCUUCAUAACAGUCCUAAACAAGAACUUAAGGGGAAGACCUCAGUUAUAUAUAUCAAGAAGACAUCAACAUUAAUGAUUCUGUUUGGACUAGAGACUUUGGCACCAGUUCUUGGACACUUAAUAUAAUUCAAACACAUUCAAAAGUUGGGAAAAGUCAUCCAUUUGAGUCUGCUCAGCUCAAGGUUCAACUUCCAUAGACUGAAGACUAAGACGGCGAGAAGGAUCCAGCGUACACGAAGCUGGUCCUCACCCUUGAGCAACGAUGCUGAUUCAGAAUCCCAUCAGUGACCUGGCAGAGAUGGAAAACAGCUUUGCGUAUUUUUCGAAAGGGGUGUUGUGGAACCUCAUGAUUUCUCAGGAGAUACCUGCCUUUCUGGAACUUUGAAUACAUGGAUAGUGCAUGUGCCUUCUAGGCAGAGACUUAUGUACUAGGAAAUGUUCCUUUACUCCAUGGUCCCGAAUCACAGCUUGUGCUAGGAAAGUUGCCAUCUAGAAACGCCUUUAUCAUUGCCUGAUAGUCUGGCAAUAAACUUGGUUGGGAUUCUCACUUGUUAUAUAGUAAAUCACUCUUUAACAAAAGUAACUUUUUGACG